GGCACAGACACAAGCGGCUGGACAUGAAGAGGAACACACCGGCGGGAGAACACAGAACACGCACCCUUUCUUUUAGUCACCCUGGAGGCCUCGGAGAAGGCGGUUUCAGUGAUCCGUGAAGAGACCCCGAGUCUUUUACAUCCCGGAGAAUGACAAGAGAGCGAGUACCUGGGCGACGUUUACGUUCUGGGAUUUCGGGAGAUGCGGUUUUCUGCACGCCAGGGGCCAAGCCUGAGACGUAGAUGGACGGCAGGGAUAGGAGCUCUCUCCGCGCCACAAACGCCCCUGCUCAUACCUGGGUUCCUUGAUUUUCCUGCCUAUAUAACCCAGCCUCCCAUGGCCGGGCUCUGAGCUCUCAUUCUGCGGACUGGGACAAAGGGGUUAACUGUGAUGCGCUUUGUAUAACCCCAGGAUUCUGCACUUGCCCAAGGGCGAGGUGCAAAUCAAAAACUACGCACAACUGAACACCGAGAUCAGGAUCCCGACUCAGAUUGAAAAAGCAGAGGAUGGUCACUGCCUUCCAGGUCUGAGGCUGUCUCCCAGAAACUUCAUUCCUCGCUUCGCCUUGGUUCUCCAUCACUUUCUGAGUCCUACAGGAGGAAAGUGCUAUUGAAGAUGAGGCGCGUAUGGCGUGAAGUUCUGGGGCUGGGAGAAGCUGCCCCGCUACUUCCGGGUGGCCUUGCCUGCAGGGAGCAGUUUGUAUUCCCCGUUGUUUCUCCUGUUGACGACAUCUGUGCCUCUUAUCUGGGAGAAGAUCAGAGGAAACUGCCGCCUCCCCCAAGCACGUGUUUUACUGCUCCCCAUUUCACAACCUAGUGCUGUCCACUUGCAUGGGAUGUUUCUUUUCCAUCACAAUGCUCUGAGAUAACGAAGUCGAGGGAAGUUUGUGCAGCCCUCCAGACCCUCCAGAUUUCAAAGGAAAGCCCACCGCUGCUGGUCUGGGGGAGCUGAUGGCCUAUUCAUGGAUGAGAUGGACUAAGGACAGUGGGAAGCACAAUGGACCAACAGUAUUGUUGGAGGGGACUGCGUGAGGAAGCAGGAGCCUAAACAACACUCUCCAGAUACUGCGUGAACACUGUCUCCAGAGGGGUCUUGUAGCAUCAAAAAUUAAAGCUAAAUGUUGAUU